rnacentral:lncRNA from 1 species
ACAAGAGACACCAAAUUGACUGCACAACCUCAAUUACACAACGAAAAACCACCCUGAAUUUCUACUGUUCCUGCUAAAAAUUAUUAGCUUGUGUAAUAUAGCAAGUAGCGUGACAUAUAAGAGAACGAAUGCUAAAAUAGAAUAUUAGGUUUUGAAGGGCAAAGAGUAGCUUACUAUUAAAAGCAUUUAAGUAUUCUUUUGAGAUGUGUCACAAUAGACAUGAAAUAGAACACUUAAAAGCAGAACAUUGAAAGUAAAGCAAUUCAACAAAACUUCAGGAAGCAUGACCCUCCUCAGCAGCAGCUUCAAAAGUUUCACCAGCCACAAGUUCUGGUACAUCAUCAUCAUCUGCCUGUGCUGCAGCAGCACCUACAGCCGCAUCUGUACCGGCAGCAGCACCAGGUGCUUGCUUCUGGAACUGCUCAGCCAACUUCUUCAAGUUCUCCAAAUUAUCAGGACCUGAAAAUUGUAUCUUCAACAGUCAAAACGUACGUUCAAUUGUUCAAGAUUUCACAUGAAUCAAAUGUAGGCCCAAAAAAUGAUACAUACCCAGCUGGUGAAUAAUCUGAGGAAGGAUAUCCUGCAAUUCUACAAAAGAAAAGAAAUAUAAACUUAGAAUUAUCAUGCAUCAUACACAAACCAGCUAUUUCAAGAGUUGUAGGCCUGUAGCACAUGGCAAAGAGAUAAUCGAAAGGAGUUAAAACAGUAAGGAAGCUCAAACACGCUAACAUGUGUUGGAGACACAACAGAAAGAUCAGUAGUCUUAAAGUAUAAUUUGUUGUGUGAUAUAGUUAUAAAGUUCAUGUUGUGGACUUAUGGCUGCAUUCAAAAGGUAACAGCUACCAAGUAAAAGCAAGGCAACAGGAAAGAGUAGAACACAUACUCUUUGUCUGGGGGAUACCGCUAACAACCCAGGUGUUUGCAGCAAUUGAUGCUUGAACUGAACAGAAUUCACAAACAAAACGAUGUUAGAUCGAAAAUAAAAUGACAGAUGACUAAACUAUGUGAAAUAUAGAUUAUUUUUAUACCUUUGGGGUUAAUGAAUUGGAUAACAACAUCCUCCUUGAAAAUGUUGACUUCUUCAAUAGCAGGAAUGGCAUUGACACCUAUUCUUUUCAAGGUGCUCUGUAGUCUUUUGUCAUCGGUUGUAGUUGUCUUGUGUACAACCUUCUUCUUUCUGCAGAAGCAGAAAUCAUUCAGUAAACAUGAAUGAGAAAAAUAAGAUACCUUAUCAAUACUUCUCUCAUGUCCCUCUCCAUUACUCAAUCAAGUUUUGACCCUAAGUCAAAAACUUGUUAAUCAUUACAAAACUAAGUUUGGCUUAUAUUCCAAAUAUUUUUCAUCUUAUUUGGAAUUUAUGAAAUUGGGAGUUCAAGAUUGAAUUUUGCUUGUUUGUACAUUUUGCAAAGGAGAGAGAGAAUAGAGAAAUUUAUUUGCAAUUUAAGAUGAUGGAGUUGGAAAACAGGUUUGGAGCUAUUUCUCAAAUUUGGAAAAUAACUCCAAGUUGGAUUUGGAAAUUUUAUGACCAAACAGUGACUUUGAAAUGAAGUGGACAAUUCUGCGGGGAUUAAAAUGAAAAACAACCAUGAUCGAACAGGCUCUUAAGUAACUGGAAUCUUUUGAGCAAGCGACAAGAGCAUACAUUCUUUCUCAAUACAAAACAUUGUCUAUUUCCAUGUGGUAAGAGUCACAGAAACUACAGAAAACUAAACAGACCUUCUCAUGGUACCCUUUCCACCAGUUCUGACCGAACCAGCCAUCUUUUGCAACUUUUCUACAUUCAUCUGUCCCAGAAAAGCACCAAAAGUUAGUAUUUCUCAAAAAACAAGUAUCAAGAAACUAAAUGCUUAGUGCAUUCCAUUCAAUCACCACGAAAGCUACACUAAGACCAACAACCACACACCUAGCGUAAUCCCACAAGUGGGGUCUGAGGGGGUAGAGCGUACACAAACCUUUACCCCUACCUCAUGGAGGUAGAGAGUCAUAAACUACACUAAACCACAUCCAGAAAAUUCACAUACUAAAAAAUAAAGGCUUCUAUAUAGAAGUUCAAAACACAAGAACACAUGAAUGUUGGAGCUAAUAGCACGUACCAACUUAACAAAGGUAAGACCAGGAACAUUACAUCAUUAUUUUGGUGUAGACCAGUUUUCUGAGCUAUUAAAAAUUGAUCAUUGAUAUAAGAAUCCAGAGGAUGCCAAAAAACAGACAGCAAAAUAAGCCUCACUGCAAACUAAAAUAAGCCAAAACAGAACCAUCUAAAUGCUUAGGGAGCUUACAAAAUCAACAAGUGAAAAGGGGCCAUUCAAAAAUUGGUCACUUAUCCCUUUUAUAUAGUUCCAAAGUACUUAAAUUUCAUUUAAAAAUAUUCAAUUGUCAUCCUUAGAAAAUCAAAUUCCACUAUUCAGGUUAGGAGGGAGAGAAUAGUGUUAUCUAACAACAACAUAAUGAGUAUAACUACACAAAGUAAGGUUUGGGGAGAGUAGAAUGUACGCAAGAAACAGAUGUACGACGUGAUAAGAAAACAGAAACAACCCCAUUCUUAAAAGUCUUGAGAUGCCCAACGCCAAUCUAAAUCAAUCACCAAAUACCAUAGCAUACACCGGGUGGAGACCAAAAAAGAGUGUAUGGAGCAACACUGGUUGAGAACACUCUGCAAAGGAAUUUCAGAACUGUUACUGCUUGGCCUCUUAGUAAGCUCCGAUAGCAUUACCUUAUACUAAAUAAAUACACAAUGGCACCUCAUGGUACAAGAGACACCAAAUUGACUGCACCUCAUGGUACAAGAGACACCAAAUUGACUGCACAACCUCAAUUACACAACGAAAAACCACCCUGAAUUUCUACUGUUCCUGCUAAAAAUUAUUAGCUUGUGUAAUAUAGCAAGUAGCGUGACAUAUAAGAGAACGAAUGCUAAAAUAGAAUAUUAGGUUUUGAAGGGCAAAGAGUAGCUUACUAUUAAAAGCAUUUAAGUAUUCUUUUGAGAUGUGUCACAAUAGACAUGAAAUAGAACACUUAAAAGCAGAACAUUGAAAGUAAAGCAAUUCAACAAAACUUCAGGAAGCAUGACCCUCCUCAGCAGCAGCUUCAAAAGUUUCACCAGCCACAAGUUCUGGUACAUCAUCAUCAUCUGCCUGUGCUGCAGCAGCACCUACAGCCGCAUCUGUACCGGCAGCAGCACCAG